GCGAACGGGUGAGUAACACGUGAGCAACCUGCCCCAAGCUUUGGGAUAACCCUCGGAAACGGGGGCUAAUACCGAAUAUUACUGCUGGUCGCAUGGCUGGUGGUGGAAAGUUUUUCGGCUUGGGAUGGGCUCGCGGCCUAUCAGCUUGUUGGUGGGGUGAUGGCCUACCAAGGCGACGACGGGUAGCCGGCCUGAGAGGGCGACCGGCCACACUGGGACUGAGACACGGCCCAGACUCCUACGGGAGGCAGCAGUGGGGAAUAUUGCACAAUGGGCGGAAGCCUGAUGCAGCGACGCCGCGUGAGGGAUGACGGCCUUCGGGUUGUAAACCUCUUUCAGCAGGGACGAAGCGAGAGUGACGGUACCUGCAGAAGAAGCACCGGCCAACUACGUGCCAGCAGCCGCGGUAAGACGUAGGGUGCGAGCGUUGUCCGGAUUUAUUGGGCGUAAAGAGCUCGUAGGCGGCUUGUCGCGUCGACCGUGAAAACUUGGGGCUCAACCCCAAGCCUGCGGUCGAUACGGGCAGGCUAGAGUUCGGUAGGGGAGACUGGAAUUCCUGGUGUAGCGGUGAAAUGCGCAGAUAUCAGGAGGAACACCGGUGGCGAAGGCGGGUCUCUGGGCCGAUACUGACGCUGAGGAGCGAAAGCGUGGGGAGCGAACAGGAUUAGAUACCCUGGUAGUCCACGCUGUAAACGUUGGGCGCUAGGUGUGGGGGGCCUCUCCGGUUCCCUGUGCCGCAGCUAACGCAUU
rnacentral:rRNA from 1 species